GUUAUUCGCUGUGUACGCUUGCAGAGAGUCCCGCGAGUUGUCCCCAUGGGGUGUCACAAUAAAGACUAUCAAAAAGGACAUUUCCACUGAUAGUGGAAGGCAAUGCUGCCCUUCGGCUCGUAGUGUAAUCAUUUUUGUCGGUGGCGUGCACUGGAACGUUCAGUGUGUACAAAAUUUGUGUGUGCGUGUGUGUGCCUACCUGUUCACACGUGACCGGUAGGCUCUCAGGACUCCUAGUGCUGGAGGAGCCGCACGAGAAUGCUCGAGCGUUCGGUAGGGUUUCUCCACGAGGGAGGGGCCGGCAAGAACGCACUUUUUCCCUUCAUUUACACAUAAAUUCACUUCGCAGUGACGCGCGGCGGAGCAGUGCGUAGAAUUACGCCACCAGAGUGGGCGUUAAAUGCGGGAGCCGAUCGUGAUUGUGACCCACACAGUCAGCGGAUGAUUUGUGUCGGGUGGAAGUUGGGCAGGAAGUUAUGGAUUUUUCCCAUUGAAGCCGCAGGGGAAAAGUGUGCCGCGUGGUGGGUGUGCUGUCAGUAGUGCCGUGUAGAAGAAACUUUUUCUACCUGACUGGCAGUGAAUUCGAUGUGAAACUGACAACCUGAGAAAAUUACUUUGUGCUUGAGAGGGGGUGCAAAAGCAAACGGUGAUCGUGAAAAUAGAUUUGGUGAUAGUGAAGUGGAGAUACCAACGCUAGUGAGUGUUACAAAAGCAAACUUCAAGAAGCUGGUGUAAAAGUUAGGUUUAACUAACAGUAAUAUUUCAUCUUUAAUUGGAAAACCUGCGGUGUUCAACGUGUAAGAACUGUUCGCUCACCAGUUGAGUCAACAGUUAAAAACAAGUUUACACCGAGUUAAACAACUGGCUUCUCCAUUGCGGUGCGGUGUUCGGAACGACGUCAGUGAAGAAGCCAACACCAAGCGCCACCUUCUUCGAUCUUGACAAACUAUCGCUGCGGGGAAAAAAUCUUUUCUUCACCCCGCCGAGGAAAUGGACGGAAAGUGAGGACUGCGUUAAUGAGUAAAACAGCGCGAGUGCAAGCAAGUAGUGUACGUGCAUCACUUUGCGGUGACAUGAAGUGGGGAUUGAUUGCCAACGGAUUAGCUUCUUGUCGACGCUAACUCAAUUUUGCUACGCCGAAAGCGCUAACACGGACACAGCACAACGUGCAGGAAGUGAAAAAGGAUCAAACGUGUAUCAAAGUUGAGUUUCAGUGGAAUUGAGCAAAAGUUUUGCCGGCAGUAGUUUCAGCUUCGUGGGUGUGCUUAAGUGUGAGAGUGCGGGGAGUGCGGAACAUAGUUCUAUUUCUUGUUAGCAUCGACGCUGUAACAACAAUAUCGAAAACCAUAGUGGGAAAACUUUCUCCCAUCGGUACGGGCGAAUCUGUUUGUGCAUUGUGUCGUUUGGAACCUGAUUAUAGUACUAUUACGCGUUUCGGUGGACAAAGUUAUGCUGUUAAGGUAUUGCUCUUUUUAGUGUGUGCAGAGUUGUUUCCUGGAUCUUAGAGCCAUACUCUGUACUCUGUUGUUCGGAUAUUGAUCUGUGAAAGCAAUAAAAUCUAGAGAUCAUGCUUCCGAUUCGUGGCCAUCGUGGAAGCAGUGGCAAUACGAGUAAUAGCACCGGCAACGACUUUCGCAUCCAUCGCUUCCAGAAUGCUAAUCAGGCUGGCAGGAGAAGAUGCUGUUGCUACACCGCCAACACCAACACCACCACCACCGCCACCAUCAGCGACGCCUUUCGAGCAGACCCCGUUCCCGUUCCAACUGUACCGGAAACGUGAGCUCAUCGUUCGUAGCAGCACGGUGUGACCUACAGGUUCCAGUAGCAGUAGAUGUAGAUGGCCCAGUGCGAAUGCUACGACGUGUGUUCCGGUGAUGUCCGCCCCACCCGUAGUAGGAGCAGAAGGGCGAAAUGAAUUAAUCAUAGCAGCAGCAACAGCAACGACGCAGUGGAUUUAAUUUCCCCGGAAAGGCCAAACACAGCGCGCCCAAAAGAAUCUGUGCCGAAGUUGUCCCCGGCACGGACGUGAAACGACGAAAAUCAGCUUUUACCUCCCAGGAUGAUUAAUCACCCGGUGGAGAGAUUUGGUUGAUGAAAAAUAACAUUCACUCCCCCGAUAGCAGCAGCGCGUUUCCAGGUCGCAGCGCCGAGCGGACACGGGGAACGAAAGUCAACUUCAUGAUUAACUGUAUCUGACAAGCCAAAGCUCGAAGAACGCAACGAACAAGAAAACCGUAAAAACCUAAUCAAAAAGGCGCACUCCCAGAGGGUCCACGGCACGUACUGCAGCGACCCGGUCUUCGCCUCGCAAGUCGAAGUCGAAGAAAACGGCACAUCAUUACUACCGAAUAGCACUAUCUCGCUCACACCGUACACCACAGCAGGAAAGCACGUCUCGCCCGAAAGUCGAGCAAGCGAAGAAAAAAAGGUUGCCGCGAAUAGUCAUAAUCAUCAUUCCUAAAGACUGUAUCACUGUAUGUUUUGCCGGGUAGUGAAAUCACGAAAAACACUCUCUUUCGGAAACAAGCGACAACAACUGGGACUAGCAGGGACACAUCAAGAAACAAGCAAAGCACUUCUUGUGUACAGUGAAUAUCCAGCGAGGACCGAAAAGAAGCAAAACAAAGCAAAGCAAACAACAACAGCAGCGACCCGACAACGCACUAAAUCUUCUGCAACAUGAAUCUUAUGAACAUGGAUUCGGAGAACCGAGUGGUUCUCAACGUCGGCGGCAUCCGGCACGAGACGUACAAGGCCACGCUGAAGAAGAUCCCCGCGACACGGCUGUCCCGGCUGACGGAGGCUCUCGGCAAUUACGACCCGGUGCUGAACGAGUACUUUUUCGACCGUCAUCCGGGUGUGUUUGCCCAGGUGCUUAACUACUAUCGGACGGGCAAACUGCACUAUCCGACUGACGUUUGCGGACCACUGUUUGAGGAAGAGCUAUCUUUUUGGGGCUUAGAUUCCAACCAAGUAGAGCCGUGCUGCUGGAUGACGUACACUCAGCACCGGAAUACGCAAGAAACAUUGGCUGUUUUAGAUAGGCUAGAUUUAGAUACGGACAAACCCUCCGACGAGGAGGUGGCGAAAAAGUUCGGUUUCGAAGACGCUUACAAUAAGGGUAAGGUGAGCUGGUGGCAGCACCUGAAACCGCAGAUCUGGUCGCUGUUUGACGAACCGUACAGUUCCAAUGCCGCUAAGAUAAUCGGCAUCAUAUCAGUUUUCUUCAUCUGCGUAUCGAUCAUAUCAUUCUGCCUGAAGACGCACCCCGACAUGCGUGUGCCAUACAUCCGGAAUAUCACGGUGAAAACGGCAAGCCAAAACACCUCCUGGGUGCUGGACAAAACCCAGACGAACGCCCACGUCGCAUUUUUCUACAUCGAGUGUGUCUGCAAUGCGUGGUUCACCUUCGAAAUCAUGGUACGCUUCAUUUCGUCCCCGAGCAAGCUUAGGUUUAUAAUGUCGUCUGUAAAUAUCAUCGAUUACAUCGCCACGCUGAGUUUCUUCAUCGAUUUGAUACUGCAGCGGUUCGCGUCCCACCUGGAGAACGCCGACAUCCUCGAGUUCUUCUCCAUCAUCCGUAUCAUGAGAUUGUUCAAGCUGACGCGGCAUUCGUCCGGGUUGAAAAUCCUGAUCCAAACGUUUCGCGCCUCGGCCAAAGAGCUGACGCUGCUGGUGUUUUUCUUAGUUUUAGGUAUCGUGAUAUUCGCCAGCCUGGUGUACUACGCCGAACGGAUACAAAUCAAUCCGCACAAUGACUUCAACAGCAUACCGCUGGGGUUAUGGUGGGCACUGGUAACGAUGACCACCGUCGGGUACGGGGACAUGACGCCCAAAACCUACAUCGGCAUGUUUGUCGGUGCGCUGUGCGCCCUAGCCGGUGUGUUGACGAUCGCCCUCCCGGUGCCUGUCAUCGUGAGCAACUUCACGAUGUACUACUCGCACACGCAGGCCCGCGCCAAACUGCCCAAACGAAGACGCCGGGUUUGCCCGGUGGAGCUCUCCAGGCCACCACGUCUACCAGGUCAAGGUGGGCCCGGUGCGUGCGUAAACACCGGAUCCGGCAAGCUUCCCUCUUCCAACGCACCCAGCACAGGAAGCAUGGAUCAAACGAUUAGACGCAUGAACGCCAACCGUACAAUUUCAAAGGACGUCAUCCUGCCAAAAAUGGCAUGAUGGGACGACAAGCUUUAGGUAUUCCGUUUGCAAAAAAACGCGCUCAGAUGUUUGAUACUGUAACUGCCACCCGUGCUGCCCUGCUGAGCUGUGCCUCUUCGUUUCACAACUACCACAACCUCCUUUUGUUUGUGACCAUUCUAACUAAGUGACGGACACCAAAAGUGUUGGCGAAAACGGCAGAAGAAGCGCGCCAAUUGUGCCCCGGAGGCAUUUUCACGUUGCUCAAUUUGCUUCCGGAAACUGAAUCAAACCUAACAUGCUGAACAGCACGCCCGAUAGUAAAAAGGCAACAAAAGUGUGUUUCCACGAAAAUUGAUCAGGAUCCUUCCGAGUCACGUCCCCAUUACAUUUGCACUUGAAGAAUGCGUGAGGAAUUGUAUCAUCAUCACGUACGAUGGGUUCGUGUUCCAUGUUGCGGAACGAGACAAAAAUUUCAACCAAAUAUCGUUUGAGAAGAAAAAAAGAAAGAGCACACCCAAACCGAAAACACAGUUGAAGCCAAUCUCACGGUUAACUUAAAGACAGACAAUUAGAUUUGUUACGUUUUUGUUUCGACAAAAUCACACUGAUGGCCCUCCAAACAGAAGAUGGAUUCUUUUACAAUGCGCUUGUAAACGGAAACCAAUCGUCGUCGUUGUCAUCGUCGCCACCAUCGGCACAGCCGGAACGGCCUGACAGUGGCAGCCGCCCACCCAGGAGGCAGAAACCAAGGACCCCGUGGGCAACGUUUGAGAGGACCUGAUCAGUGAACUGCCGUUGGAAAGCGCCGAUCCAUCGCAGCCGACGGUAGCUGCACUAGUACCAGUAAUAGAUAUGCCACCAUCACCCCCGCCCCCGCCAUCGACCUCCUCGCUCAGCUUGGCCGUGUCCUCCGCCCUCCGUCGGUCAUCGCUAGGCAAAGCUAAGGAACGCAAGCUGAAGAAUAGUUAGAAUAUUACAGCAUCAGUGCAAACCAUGCUCUUACAUGACAAUGAAAUCUAAUGUUUCCAAACUAAAGGUCACACGUUGUCUCCGUGUGAAACUCGUGGGACUAAAUGCAUUUUGCCUUCAUCUCUUUUUUUUUCUCUGGGGCAAUUAGCCAGCGAAAAAAACACACACACACAUACGUUAGCUUUUCUAUAGUUACCAGUCGCAAAGUUUAGAGUGUUUUGGAGACGAACUGGUGAGCGGUUUAGUGCGGUAUAGAAAUACUCGAUAAGAAUGAUGAUUGAUAAGUGAAACUUUGUUCUAUAAAGUUGCUUAGUUUAAGCUCGAUUAUUAGGCAACGUUAAGUUUUAGCCCGAAACGAGAGAUCUGCUGUUGAGUGUUAUCAAUGUUGACGAUUACGAAUGACGCGGGGUCCGGUUUUACUUUCUCCCCAAGUUCGAUCUUUUUGGCACAUCCCUACGUAACUACGCUUAUUACUCAAACAGAGAAACAUCUGUACAGUUGUUCAUUACGAAUACGGCUAAAACAAACGCGGAAGAGGUGUAAAUAUUCUGCAAAACUAAAUUUGACAUGUAGUAACAAAGUGAAUAAAACACAAUUGUAUAUUUUAGAAAGAGGCAAAACAAAAAGUGAUAUAAAAUUAUUUUGAACAAAAUUGAAGCUCUAAUACUGAUUGCAGCAUCGAAUCGGAUUGGUAUGAAAGUUGACAAUUUUUCUCUUCGUUGCUUAUCACUUUUGUUUCGGGGUGCAAAACCAAUCAAUUUCAGUGCUAGUGGUAAGAAGAAACUUCAUUAACAGCUUGUAAAUAAAGACCCACAUACACACAUAUGUUAGCAAUACUCAUCAACUGUUGGGGCUUUGCUUCGAUUUUCCAGGCCACUGAAUUGUGCUAAUGAAUGUAGAACGACCCAUUCCUAUCGGACGGAGAAACCAGUUUUCUUCCAAGCAGAACGCUUUUUAAA